GUGGGGGCCCUCGAGGCCAUUGCUAUCGGAGUCCGAUUUAGCCAUGCUAGUCGCACGAGUUUGUACUCGUGGCAUAUAGCUCAGUAACACGUGGCCAAACUACCCUACAGACCGCAAUAACCUCGGGAAACUGAGGCUAAUAGCGGAUACAGCUUCCAUGCUGGAACUGCAGGAAGCUGGAAACGCUCCGGCGCUGUAGGAUGUGGCUGCGGCCGAUUAGGUAGACGGUGGGGUAACGGCCCACCGUGCCAAUAAUCGGUACGGGUCGUGAGAGCGAGAGCCCGGAGACGGUAUCUGAGACAAGAUGCCGGGCCCUACGGGGCGCAGCAGGCGCGAAACCUUUACACUGCACGCCAGUGCGAUAAGGGGACUCCGAGUGCGAGGGCAUAUCGUCCUCGCUUUUGUGUACCGUAGGGCGGUACACGAAUAAGAGCUGGGCAAGACCGGUGCCAGCCGCCGCGGUAAUACCGGCAGCUCAAGUGAUGGCCAAUCUUAUUGGGCCUAAAGCGUCCGUAGCUGGCCUCGAAAGUCCGUCGGGAAAUCCACUGGCUCAACCAGUGGGCGUCCGGCGGAAACUUCGAGGCUUGGGACCGGAAGGCUCGAGAGGUACGUCCGGGGUAGGAGUGAAAUCCCGUAAUCCCGAACGGACCACCGAUGGCGAAAGCAUCUCGAGAAGACGGAUCCGACAGUGAGGGACGAAAGCUAGGGUCUCGAACCGGAUUAGAUACCCGGGUAGUCCUAGCCGUAAACGAUGUUCGCUAGGUGUGGCACAGGCUACGCGCCUGUGCUGUGCCGUAGGGAAGCCGAGAAGCGAACCGCCUGGGAAGUACGUCUGCAAGGAUGAAACUUAAAGGAAUUGGCGGGGGAGCACUACAACCGGAGGAGCCUGCGGUUAAUGAUCCU
rnacentral:rRNA from 1 species